rnacentral:lncRNA from 1 species
CUAUUAUUUUAGAUUUCACUUUUGCAAAGUGGAAAAAAAGGUCCAACUUGAUAAAAAAUGAGAAAGUACUACACGUAUUGAAACGAUUCCUCAAUUGCCAAUCAUAUAUUCGUUUUACCUACUACCUCUUCAUGAACCUGUUUUUUCCAAGAGUACAUGUAAAUCAAACCGAUCAAAAAGGGGAUAACAAAAAAAAGAAUUAAUCCCACUAGCCUACCUCGCUUUUUCUUUUUACAAAAGAAAAGAUCC